rnacentral:misc_RNA from 1 species
AACGCAAAUUGCGCCCGAGGUUUCGGCCGAGGGCAUGUCUGCUUGAGCGCCGCUGGACCCCCCUCGCCCAACCCGUCCCUUUUCUCAAGGGGCGGGCGGCGGAUGAUGGCCGCCUCGAAUUAUGGGCAGAGUGUCGUCGCACUUCGUGCGGCGCGCCCCGCUCUCGAGCCGGCUGGAAUUUAUAGGCUCGCCCCCGGUUUGCACAUGGCACCCGGCGUGGACGACGCGUUCCGUUUACGGAUGCGCCUCUGCUCGGAAUUGUCUGUGCUUUUGGCUUUUUAAGCCACCGUGUGCGUGUUUUAUUCGUGCCCGUGGACCGUCGUGCGAUGGCUUUUAUGCCAUCACACGCGCCUUCGGUGUCACAGGAACUUUGUUCCCCACCUUGGCCUCAAGUCAGGCAGGAUUACCCGCUGAAUUUAA